AUUUCAGGGAACUGUGGACUAGAUGGCAUGGGAGAACCUUCCAGAGACCUACAGUUGGGCUCAAGGAGUGAGCCAACCCCGGGAUGUCUGCAUCACAGAAGACCGUGACACCAAGGGCAUGGGGAGGUGUUCAGAUCUUGUGUGAAGGACCAGAAAGCCUCAAGGUCAGAGGAUCUCAUUUGGGAGCACGUUUGCAGGGGCUUUUUGUAUAAAUGGGUGCAUGCUUUUGUUGCUGCUUCAGUGACUGAGAAACUCAAGUGGCACUUACGUAGCCCUGGCCAGGAAUACUAAACAGGCUGAAAAAUGUGGAAUAGACUCAUUUACACAUCGACCUGCUUCAAGUGUAAAUAGCUGCACCGUGAAAAGUUGUCCACAACUGUCAGUUUAUAAAUGCAAAUACAGAACCCACAACCAAUUGGUUAAGUCACUUUUUGUUCUCUAA
rnacentral:lncRNA from 1 species